CAGAAUCUUGCUCUGUCACCCGGGCUGGAAUUAUGUGGCAUGAUCUCGGCUCACUGCAACCUCCACCUCCUGGGUUCAAGUGAUUCUCUUGCCUCAGCAUCCUGAGUAGCUGGGAUUACAGGCAUGCACCACAAUGAUCGGCUCCAAACAGGAGCAUCUUGGAACCUGCUCCUUUUACUUCCAGUGGACACAGAGCACUUCAGCUAUGGGCAUCCAUAACUACUUCCUCCUGGAUCUGAGGCUUUCUUGGCUCUGAGAGCUUCCUGGGUUUGCUGACCUCACCCCUGUGAGGAGGAGGAUUGGCCCGGCUGCUGAAAACAUACGUGUAAUUGAAGGAAUUCUAUUAAGAAAAAGGAAAAGAAAAAAAACACAAACAACAAACUCAACCAGAUACAUCUUCCAUGGCCAUUGUUCAAUGCUGGGAAUCUGUGGUUCGGUGCCAUGGUAGGGAAGGAAGAGUGACUGUGAGAGGCAUUUCCUCACUGAAGAUUAUAAAGAGCGGGUGAGGCUGGAAGUGGCCGAGCGGAAAUGGAGAAUAGUGUCUCCCUCCAAAUAGGGUGAUUCAGAGGGAGUUGAUUUGAGGGAAAUAUGUGACAAUGGGAGCCUAACAACUAGAAAUCUUGAAACAAAAUGAAACAACACACCAUUAUCAGCACCUAACCAGCCAGGAGCUUCCGUAGAAUCCAAGGGUUCCACCCCUUACUACGCGGUAAUUAGCCAGACCCAUGGAUCUUCCGCAGUGUUUCAGCAUCCUCACUCAGUGAUACAUUCUAGUCAACAUUCCUCAGGCUGGAAAACUUUUCUCAUGUCUCACUUGAAUCUCACCUGCUGCAGCUGAAGUUCAUUUCUCCUUGCUUUGUUCCGGGGGACAUGGAAAAGAACCGGUCGCCGUUUUCUCCUUAAGAAUCCUGCGGACAUGUGAUGAGUUAAAAACACAUUUUCCCCUGCCCACCCCUACUUAGCUGUUCAGAACUCUCUGAAUUGGUAAAUUCUGGAGAAACUCUGUUAAAUCUUUAUGCUCAGGGGAACAAGAUCCAGUUACCAAGCAAAAUUAAAGUGCAGCAACAACACCCCUGUUCUGGUUUGUCAAGGAAAACCCUUUGCCUGGACUCUCGAUUUCCAAACAGAAUGCAGCACAGUUUAAAGAGUAUUUUGUUUUCCUUUUCUGGAACCCAUUGUGUGUCACGUCAGAGACAAUGAGCUGCUCAUACAGCUGCAGUUGUCCAAGUAUUAAACUUCCCAUGCAAGUCCAGGUUAGCUUGGAAGAUAGUAAAACCGCUGGGUGA
rnacentral:lncRNA from 1 species